rnacentral:miRNA from 1 species
AAAAUGUGUUGAUUGUAAUGGUUCCUAUUUUGGUUAAUAAAGAUGUCUCUGAGCCUAGUUAUUAAUAUAAUAACUUAAAAUUCGUGGUCCAAAACCGCAAUUACUUUUGCACCAAC